rnacentral:rRNA from 1 species
AAUGCGAGAAAUCGUGACCAGGGAACUCCAAGUGGCUGGGGUAAGACCCAGUCUUUUCUUGACUCUUCAAAGGUCUUGGAAUAAGAGGUGGGUAAGGACGGUGCCAGCCGCCGCGGUAAUACCGGCGCCUCAAGUGGUAGUCGAUUUUAUUGGGCCUAAAACGUCCGUAGCCUGUUUGGUACAUUCGUGGGUAAAUCAACCAGCUCAACUGGUUGAAUUCUGCGAGCACGGCCAGACUUGGGACCGGGAGAGGUGUGGGGUACGCUCAGGGUAGGGGUAAAAUCCUGUCAUCCUGAGCGGACCACCUGUUGCGAAGGCGCCACACUAGAACGGAUCCGACGGUCAGGGACGAAGCCUAGGGGCACGAACCGGAUUAGAUACCCGGGUAGUCCUAGGUGUAAACGCUGUGGACUUGGUGUUGGGGAUUCUCCGAGGAUCUUCAGUGCCGAAGCGAAGGUGAUAAGUCCACUGCCUGGGGAGUACGGUCGCAAGGCUGAAACUUAAAGGAAUUGGCGGGGGAGCACCGCAACCUGAGGAUUGUGCGGUUUAAUUGGAUUCAACGCCGGGA